rnacentral:rRNA from 1 species
GACGAACGCUGGCGGUGUGCUUAACACAUGCAAGUCGAACGGUAAGACCCUUUCCUGGGUCCACGAGUGUUGGCCGCGGACGUAACACGAGCGUAUCCUUCCCUCAUCUCUGGGAUUACGGUCAGUACCGGUAACUAAUGCUGAUACUGAGCAUGCUAGUCAUCUUGUGGGUUGGAAAGUUUUUUUUGGUUUUGGGAUGGAUUAGCGACGUAUCCGCUUGUUGGUGGGUUAGUGGCUCACCAAGGCUUCGACGGGGAGCCGGCCUGAGAGGGCGAACGGCCACAUUGGAACUGUGAGACGGCCCAAACUCCUACGUGAGGCAGCAGUGGCGAAUAUUGGACGAUGGACGGAAGUCUGAGGCAGCAACGCCGCGUGCGGGAUGACGGCUGUCGGGUUGUAAACAGCUUUCAAUAGGGAAGAAUGUUUUUUGUGACGGUAGCAGUAGAAGAAGCACCGGCUAACUACGUG